AUUGAACGCUGGCGGCAUGCCUUACACAUGCAAGUCGAACGGCAGCACGGGUGCUUGCACCUAGUGGCGAGUGGCGAACGGGUGAGUAAUACAUCGGAACGUACCUUAUCGUGGGGGAUAACGCAGCGAAAGUUGCGCUAAUACCGCAUACGCCCUGAGGGGGAAAGCGGGGGACCGUAAGGCCUCGCGCGAUUAGAGCGGCCGAUGUCUGAUUAGCUUGUUGGUGAGGUAAAAGCUCACCAAGGCGAUGAUCAGUAGCUGGUCUGAGAGGACGAUCAGCCACACUGGGACUGGGACACGGCCCAGACUCCUACGGGAGGCAGCAGUGGGGAAUUUUGGACAAUGGGGGCAACCCUGAUCCAGCAAUGCCGCGUGAGUGAAGAAGGCCUUCGGGUUGUAAAGCUCUUUUGUCAGGGAAGAAACAGCAGCUCUAACACAGUCUGCGAAUGACGGUACCUGAAGAAUAAGCACCGGCUAACUACGUGCCAGCCGCCGCCGUAA
rnacentral:rRNA from 1 species